UGGGGAAUUUUGGACAAUGGGGGAAACCCUGAUCCAGCCAUGCCGCGUGAGUGAAGAAGGCCUUCGGGUUGUAAAGCUCUUUCAGCCGGAACGAAACGGUCACGGCUAAUACCUGUGAUCACUGACGGUACCGGAAGAAGAAGCACCGGCUAACUACGUGCCAGCAGCCGCGGUAAUACGUAGGGUGCGAGCGUUAAUCGGAAUUACUGGGCGUAAAGCGUGCGCAGGCGGUUUUGUAAGUCAGAUGUGAAAUCCCCGGGCUUAACCUGGGAACUGCGUUUGAAACUACAAGGCUAGAGUGUAGCAGAGGGGGGUGGAAUUCCACGUGUAGCAGUGAAAUGCGUAGAUAUGUGGAGGAACACCGAUGGCGAAGGCAGCCCCCUGGGCCUGCACUGACGCUCAUGCACGAAAGCGUGGGGAGCAAACAGGAUUAGAUACCCUGGUAGUCCACGCCCUAAACUAUGUCGACUAGUUGUUGGGGGAGUCUGUCCCUCAGUAACGUAGCUAACGCG
rnacentral:rRNA from 1 species